UUGCAGCCAAGUAAGCCAACAACACUCUCAUCCCCAUGGGGACUGGUGUGCAAUGGCAGCAAACAGCAGCCUUCUUGGUAGUGCAGCACCCUGUUUCUUGUACAAGGCAAUGGCACACCCAGUAAAGAGCA
ensembl:snoRNA SNORA70 Small nucleolar RNA SNORA70